rnacentral:lncRNA from 1 species
GAAACACAACACAAAGGCACUACAACAGCAAAGAGGUGUGUCCUACUGAAGCUGCCCACUAGUUAUUCGAUGUACUGAGGUCUGCCUGAAAAAAUACCCGCCCACCAAGCACUGUGUUUAUCCACCGGCUUUAGGAAAUCUGCUAUUGAGAAAAAUAUGAGGGAGACGAAGAGAUAAAUCUAAUACGUCAGUACUUUAUACAUAUCGAUUGGUCGAUUUAGAUUGGAUAAAAAAAACUAUAUUGACCUCGGCGAGGUUUGAACUCAAGACGCAGCACUCCAUAAAUAUGUGAUGGAUGUGUGAAUCUUGCUUUGAAUGUAUCACUUGUUACUUCGAUGUUUCACUUCAUAUUUAGUCCUCCUACAUAACUAUUGCCUUGAAAGAACACGAGCUUACGUCAGCUCCCAUUUUAAAGACAUGGUUUUGAUCAGUUGCCGUUAUAUUUGAUUUUGACUGUGUGCUACAUAAACGGUUAUUUAAAGCUGUUGAUUGGUUUGGGUUCUUUGGGCACCGAAAUCUAACUUUCGUAUUCUUCCGAUUUUAGACAACGAGAAUAUUAUCAAUGUCAGAUACACCAACCAAUUGACCAAUAAGUAUUUAAUAACACUGCAGUAAUUUUUAAAAAGAGAUUUUAAAAAGAAGAAACACUCGACAACCUGGAUCUACCAUCGAAUCUAGCUACGGAAAACAGGAAGGCCAACGAAUUAGCAAAUGAGAAAACGACACCCAUAGACACAAACAUAAUAAAAUAACAUUUAGAAAUCUAAACUAUAAGUAUAUACAAAUAUAUGAAUACGAUUCAUUAUUCAUUUUAAAAGUUCACGAAAUACAAUGAAAGUUUCAAAAUAAAUUUACAUUGUUUAUCUCGGGCAUCCGUAAAAAGAAGCAAUAAUCUUAUAUCCCCGGACAUACAGAAAGACGACAUCACAGAGAUAGAAGGUUUAGCUUCGAAGUCACUAUCCACGUUUGACCUCAGUUGAACGAUUCCAUCUGCAAAUCACACUAUUGAUUUCUCACAUAAGCAUAAUGUCUCCCGUUUUGCUGGAGAAGGAAACAGAUGAUUAUAUUGAUCCCACUCCUUGAGGCCUACUUCUUGCAUCGACUUUCGCAUGGGACAACAAGGAAUAUCAGCCCCCAACAGGAUUUGAACUUAAAAUGCAACGGGACGUAUUUGACUGCGGCCGUGCUGGAGCACCGCGUUUAGUCGAG